CAGAAGUUCCUGGCCGCUAAGCUGGAGUCGCUGCGUGAUUCGACGCGCACGCACACGGCUUCGAGUUGCCCGGCGGCCCCACGCGCGAUAUCGGCUCGGAUCCGGGAGGCCGGCUGCCCGUUUUCACCAGACAGCUGGGGCCAGAGCCACAACGAAGACACAGGUGAAAUAACGAAGAUGGCAGCCUCUCUACUCCCAGAUGUGAACCAAAGACAGAGCUGUUGAUCGGAAGUGGAUUUUAUAUCCUCUGGGCCCAGUGAGCCAACAACAGGUCAGAUAACUCCCUGCUGUGUGACUCGUGGGACUUCGGCAUUGCUAUUCAAUAUGACACAGGUCCGGAUGUACUGGAGUAAUUAGUACUAUCUUGAGUAUCGCUUUAUCAGCUGGAAGAAAAACAGCCUGACACCCCAAGGUUUGAGUACUUAGGAAAUACAACCCCGAUGCACACACCUGACCAUUUGAAAGCCAUCAUGAGGUUUGUGGUUAAUGCCUCCGAUUGGUGCACGACAGUCAACGCAAAAGCUCUGUUCCAUCGGCCUGCCGCACUAGAGUGAAGACAGAGGGCACUCAGAACCACUUCUGGAGCCAGUACCAUUUUAUGUACAAACGCUGUCCUGCAAAUGAUACCCCCUUACCGCUGCCUCAGACGUGCGCAGCCUCAGAUUGUCCGUUCCAGCGUUUCAGGGUCUCAAAGGAAGCAAUGGACAGAAACAAAUCAACAGGGGCUGCCAACGGCCUCGGCAGAUCAGCAAGACAGCAAAUCUGUCAGCCUGGCCCAACCGUCAUAGCUGUCCUGUUCCAGCCACUGGUUUGCGCACACUGGCCAGGUGCGUCCCGGAGGCCGUGGGCAUGGGACUCGCAGUACAGUGUCAUGUGAUCAGGGCUUCAGUGGUCCACCACCCUGCAUCGCUGGACAUCACCCAGGGAACACGCAGGCCCCAAGGGGUGUCAUCUGGCAUCAGUGAGAAGCCACAGGCCCACCCUACCUUCAGAGCAGUCUCAGUCCCCAGCGGCUUGCACUCGAGGACAGCUUUGGCCACAGCGUCUCGGAGAGCCUUGUAUUCACUGCCGUACACCAGUAGAGAUGACGUUUCACCAUGUUGACCAGGAUGGUCUCGAUCUCUCGACCUCGUGAUCCACCCGCCUCGGCCUCCCAAAGUGCUGGGAUUACAGGUGUGAGCCAGCACGCCCAGCCCUAGAAUUUCUAAAUAACAGAGUCUUUCAGCCCAAAGUAAAGCAAGGUGGAGAAGACUCGCCUGGGCCUCCCUGGGGCUCUGAGAGGAAAUCUGCAGCCCGAUCAAGGCAGAGGCGGAUCCGGGCCACCUCCUGCAGGUAUUCCACCGAGGCCUCGUGGGCAGGCUCUUGGCCACGUCGCACUGGAGAAUACGUCUUAAGGAAAACACCUUCCUCUCUCAAGUGGUUCAGUUCAUCUUUUCUGGAGCAAACACUGGUCUUCUCAUGUAUUGAAUCCUGAGGAACAAGGAACAAGAAAGAAAAGGAUAUUAUUCUUUUAAAUAUGGAAUCCCCAAGCUUCUAAAAUUGCCAGCAUGACUAUGGAGAAUGAAGGAAGGAUAAAAAAUACUAAUGCAGGUUUCAGCAUAAAUUUCUUGAUUCAUGGAAACCUAAUACUCCUUUUUAUUUUAAGGGCAAGAAGGAGGGGAAAAAGUAAGCCUAUGAGGAAGAAGUUUUAUAUAGUCUAAUUUAUAUACUUUAUGAAGAUAAUAAAAAGUAUUCAUAAUGUCAGCACCCAGUGAUAACCACUGUUAACUUUGGUGGUAUAUUCAUUCUUCUAGGCUGUUCUUUUUUGUAUGCAUAUGCACAUAAAUGCCAAUGUAUACACUGUUGAAGACAGAAGCAAUGUCUUUGAAACCUUUCUUUUGUAUAUAUAAUUUUAUUGAUAAUUAACAGAGCAUUUGUUAAUUAUACUGACUAAAAUUCUGUACAUUUUAAACCAUGUGGUUCAGAUAGUUUGCAAAAGAAAUUCAGGAAGAGAGUUCACUUACCUCCAGGCAGUUGAUAAACAGCAUGUACAGUUCAGUUUUAUCUUCAAUUAUGAAUGCUUUCUUUUUUAGCAGGGUCAAGUAGUCCUGAAUAUAAUCUUUUACAUCAUCGAAGCUGUGGGAAGAGAAAUAUUAUUCCUGGCUCUCUCAGAUCUGGAGAUGUAUCUUACUAAAAGAAGGUCAUCUAUCCUAUCUGUGUGUGUGUAUAUAAACAUUCACACAUAUGUAGUUUCUAACGUUUUAGGGAAAACACUGUAGCAUUAUACUGGGAAUAUAAACCGUUUUAGAGCAGCCUGUUCUCAAACUUUUUGGUUUCAGGACCCUUUUAUUGUCUUAAAAGUUAUUGAGAACCCCGAAGAGCUUUUCUUUAUGUGGGUUAUAUUAUCAAUAUUUAUGAUAGGAAUUAUGAGACAUUAAAAACAAAAGGUUUCAUUUAAAAUAACAGUAAAGCUAUUACAUGAUAAAUAACAUUUAAAAAAACAUGAAUCAGUGAGAAGAAGGGCUUGGUCUCCCAUUCCUGUUCUCACCCUGGGGCCUGGCUCCGUAAGUCUGCCUGCCUGCCUGCCCUGCCUCUGCUCCCCAUCGGCUGCGCCGUGUGAAGAAUAUGAAGAAAACCUGUCCUUACACACUGGGAGCAGCGAGGAAUGUUUCACAAUUUUUGCAGAUUAUUGUGGAUAUCAUUCCUUAAUACUGUGCCAACAGUGACAAAUGAUCAUGUCUAAAGGUUGGUUGCAAUGUGGAGCCUGAAGCCAUAUCAGUGUAUUUUUCAUAGUCAAUUAUGUUAAAAGUUCUGUCAGAUACUUGAUUAUUUUUUUGAGAUGGAGUCUUGCUCUGUCACCCAGGCUAGAGUGGCACGAUCUCAGCUCACUGCAGCCUCUGCCUCCCAGGUUCAAGCAAUUAUCCUGCCUUAGCCUCCCAACUAGCUGGGAUUACAGGCGCCCAUCACGACCAUGCCUGGCUAAUUUUUAUAUUUUUAGUAGAGAUGGGGUUUCACCUUGUUGGCCAGGCUGGUCUCGGACUUGUGACCUCAGGUGAUCCACCCGCCUCAGCUUUCCAAAGUGCUGAGGUUACAGGCGUGAGCCACCAUGCCUGGCCUGCCUGUACUUUAAAUGUUUUUCCUUUUUGACCCACACAUGAUUUUGUGACAUCAGGCGUUGGUCAUUUGGAAAAUAUCGGUUCACUGGGCUAUGCACGUCUUGCAAAAUUUGACACAUUUUGAUUCUACAUUUUUAGAAACCAUCCACAUUCAUUAAUAUCACCACAGAUUGCCUCAAAAUAUCUUUAAGUAAACACCUCAGCUGUUUGGAUGAGGCCAGCUGGCUCUGCGGAUUUCCAGGAGGGGCCUGCCCAGCCCUGGAGAACUCAUGUGCAUCCGCCCAGCACAAGAGCCAGCCCAGAAGCAAAGCAGCUGUUAACUCCAGACUUGUCAUGAGUGGUUUUCUUCGAGGUAAGCGUCACCUCUGGUGUGCAGUGGGAGUGUGUUCUGUGUGCUCCCCGUUUCCACAAAACAUUAAAAAGUCAAAUCCUCAAGAGUCAAGAUUUAGUAAAAAGGAAACUGGCAUGAAAAAAAUACCACGUAAGCACAGUGGUGAAGACGAUGUUGGGACUACAGCAUUGUUUGCGCCGCGGCUCGACCUACCACUGCUUUUGUAACGUCAUCCUGUGUCACCAUGCUAAAAAUAGAGGCACAUUUAUCUUAGUAUUCUAAUUUUUAAAAUAGUUUUGACCUCAGAGACCUACCUCACACUCAAGGGUCCACACCAACACUCUGAGAACUGCAAUAUUAGAGCAAUACAUGUACCACCAGGGACACUAUCCUUGGAUGUCAACAGCCUUUCACAAGGAAAUACACAGAGCCCAUGUUGUGGGGAGUAUCGUUAGAAGACAUGGAGGACAUUCGGGGUGAGCAGCAAUCUAAGCUACCAUCCUAAAAACCACAAGACGAGGCCACUGUGGAACCAGGUCAGCACCACAGAUGCCUGCCUCCCGAGUUCCGUGACCUUCACGCCACCACCACCCCCUCAUGGCACUGUUUGCUUCUGGCUAGAUGUGUGCUUGUGGGUGUGCUAAACUCAUGCCUAAUGUGAAAACGUCAGAAUACCCAACCAGUACAGCUAACCAGGUCGUCUCUCACCAAAAAAGCUUCCCCAGAUUGUGUACCAGCUGCUAGUCAUGACGAGAAGACUCAGUAACAAGAGCCGUGAUGAAGAGCAAAGGCCGGGGCUCUCCAGAAGCAAGUCUCCAUGUUGUUGCUCUUACCUGUACUUGAGAAGCAGCUUCAGUAUCACCGAGCGGAUGACAGGAGUCUUAUCCACCACGUCAUUGAAUGGAGAGAGAGAUUUGGUGUGUUCGCGGUGUCCUUAAACCAGAAAGAGAAAGGCAGCUGGUUGCAUGAGGUGUGCAGGAGUGAGAUGCAUAAAUAAGCUUCCAGGUUUAUAGGAAGAAAGCGACCUACUCUCGGGGGCAUCUCUUAAGAGCUCCUUUUGGACAAACAGCAGAGAGAGCAGGCUGUGGAUCACUUCCUUCUCAGGCGGAGCAUUGUCCUUGAAGCACAUGGUGGACACCAGGUCUACGAAGAAGCUGUUGCACGUCUGCCGGAGGCGGGCAUGCUUUUCAAUGGCUUCCCUUAGGACACGAGGAGCACAAAUCAGAAGACCAGGGGAUGGUGUUUCCCAAACCCCUCCUCACAGAAUGACUGGAGAUUUGGACAGCAUUUCACGUUUUUUUUUGAGACGGAGUUUGGCUCUUGUUGCCCAGGAUGGAGUACAGUGGUGCGAUCUCGGCCCACUGCAACAUCCACCUCCUGGGCUCAAGAUUCCCCUGCCUCAGCCUCCCGAAUAGCAGGGAUUACAGGAAACUGCCACCAUGCCCAGCUAAUUUCACACUUAGUAGAGACUGGGUUUCACAAUGUUGGCCAGGCUGGUUUUGAACUCCUGACCUCAUGUGAUCCACCCGCCUCGGCCUCCCAAAGUGCUGAGAUGACAGGCGUGAGCCACCGCACCGAGCCCUGCCUUUCACUGUUAAAGAUUCAAAUCAUUCCUCUCAUCCAUUAGAGCUAGUCUUCAGAACAAAAGAAGACAUUUAGAUGCCUCUCUUUCUAGGAACACUGAUCAUUUGCAGCAGCCCCAACACCCUUCAGUACCCCAAAGCAUGUCAAAGAACCCAUCCACUGGGCCUGCCUGGUGCUCCACUUUCAGGAGGCCUGAGAGAGAAGGAAAACCAACCCCUCAGAGAGCAGGGCUGAGGCCCGCUGAGCCCAGAGAGCUAGAGCUGCUUUUAACCACCUGAAAAGCUAGACCAGAAGUGGGCUGGUCCUCAGGUCAGAGACUGUGAAUGAUGUUAAUGCAUUAAGACCAGUGGUGUUUGCCAGGCACUUUGGGAGGCUGAGGCAGGUAGAUUGCUUGAGGUCAGGAGUUCGAGAUCAGCCUGGCCAACACAGUGAAACCCCUUCUCUAAUAAAAAUACAAGAAAAUUAGCCAGGUAUGGCUGCCUGUAAUCCCAGCUACUUGGGAGGCUGAGACAGGAGAAUUGCUCGAACCCAGGAGGCAAAGGUUGCAGUAAGCCAAGAUCGCACCACUGCACUCCAGCCUGGGUAACAGAGUGAGACUCUUACCUCAAAAAAAAAGACCAGUGGUGUCUAAAUUCCUUGGGCCUCUGGUGAGGAUCUCUGUUAUGACUUUCUGGCUUAUUUCCUCUCAAUUUGCUCUCUCUCAAAUCUAUGUGUAUGUCUUGGGGAGAGAAUAAUCUUGAGAUACCAGAUAUUUAUGAAAGUAUAUAAGUGGUGUCUCUUAUGAUAGUUCUCUGAAAUCAGGUUUUCUACCAAACAAAGGUUAAUAGAGUUUAUAUUUCUGAAUAUUGUGUUUGUCAAGGAAAAAAAACAGAUGCUUUCGUGAAAGGGUGUUUUACCUGUGCUCUUGGGAAACAGUUGGAGAGAAUGUGUCUGGCAAGACAGUUAAACAGAAGGGGCACAUCAUCUGCCCCGAGACCAGCCAGGCUUCUAGGCAGCGCAGACAGUACACGUGGUCGCAGGGCAGACAGACGGGGUCCUGUGCGUCUCCCAGGCAGAUGGGGCAUGGCUGGACCCCAAACCUAGAAUCCAAGAAGGGUGAUCAGUUCUGAAGUAGAGAAACUGGCCAGAAGAAGUGAAAACCAUGAAAGAGUCAGCAUUCCCACCUUCACAGAUCCAAACCUAAGGUCUCACCUGGUAAAGGUCCUGCUGGCGCUCUCCUUACAUUCACAGAGAGUGCUCAUCACGGCCCUAAAAGGCCUGUGGGUCUUGAGGUCAGAGUUCUCUCGAAGACGCUGAAGAAAAGCGGUGACAGGAAUCAUUAGCGGUAGGGAGGGCGGCCAGGCCAGGCAGCGGAAGGGACACCUCGUGCAGUCAGGGCCGUGAUGCAUGUGUGCGAGGUGAGAGGCCUUCGCACUUCUUCAUUUAGCAGUUGAAAGGCUCUUUUAGUGAUUAUUGCUUGUCACAGUACUAAAUUCUCAAGUUACGGUUUCCCCUCUCCUUUUUCCUUCAAGGUCUCCUUCCCUCCCACCACUAGGAGAAAGUUCAGACUUUCAAUAAUGAGCAUCUGGAGAUCCCCCACCAAGCUUUAAGAAAUCUCAGCAUUUUUGGAAUAUUUGCUUUAGAUCAUUAAAAAAAAAAUCUCUUUUAGCCCCUAAGCAGCUGGGAUAGAUCUUUUUUUAGAGAAAACAUUAUACAUAAGUUACAAUUUCUACACCCCUUUCUGAUCAGAUUUCCCUGCCUCCCCUCCCCAGAAAGGACCACAGUUUUAAAUUUCUACUUUUAGGAAAGCUAUAAGCAUGUAUCAACAUGGGAUUGUUUUGAAUGUUUUAAAACUUUCUAUCAAUGGUAUCACACUAGAUACAGGCUUCUGCAGCUCAUUUUCUUCAUGACACAUUAGGUCCAGAUCGCUGCUGUUAGGGGCUGUGUUGUACCUGUCUGCUGGGUAAUGGGCAUUUAGAUUUUUUGCAAUUCCUAACAGUCCUGUAUCCCGCAUUCUUGCAUCUGUGUGCUUGAGAGCAAAUGGGAAGUUUCUCUGUGAUACAGAUGCAUCCCUGCAGGGUCGCAGGCUUUGCUCUGCAGGGCACCGCCCCACAUUAGCAGCUUUGUGAAGGGUAUUGAGGGACAGGGUAUUCCUGUUCCCUUGGUUCUGCUGACAGCACUGUUUUGAAGGCCCCAACCCCAGUGGCAUUCUCGGACAUCCCUGUCUCAGUGACUGUGGCAACGGUAACAGCUCCCACAGACGGCCAGGCUAAUGGUCUAUUCUGGACUCACUCCAGCAGGCCACGCACCCCUCCCAGGGGUUUCACAAGGAUGUUCCCUGCAUCGGUUCCUUUCUGCACACAGUUCCUGGAAUAGUUUCUAAAUGAUACACCUGACUUAGCAAUCAGCAGAGGGUAGAUAAUUAAACAUGGGAAAGGUAAUGCCCUAGUGAUAAAAUCACCUUCCCACUUCAGACAAGACAGUCAAAGCCAAAAAAGCGGCUUGCAGCUGCGUAUCAGUGUCAGUGCUGUUCUUCCUUCUGGAAAAGCGGGGAGCCAUGCAUGUGCUGAGGCCAGCCCAGGUACUCAUACUCACCUUGUCUAGUAAGAAGACGUGCUCCGUCACCAGCCUGCAUAACUCAGGGACCUGGCGCUCAAUUUCCAGGAGCACGUGCUCCACAAAGAGCGCAGUGGAGAAAAUCCGACUCCAGUGGACUCUGUCAAAAGAGGGCGCCAGUCACUCAGCUCCCACGAAGGAGCCCAGGGUACAACGAGGAUGCCACUCACUCAGCCUGGCACUGGGCAGGCUUCUGGUGAGUUCGUGCUGGAUGAAGCAGGGGGGAGGGCAUCUGGCUCUCACCUGACUUCCCUGAUGACAGCCUGGGCCAGGGUCCCACUGCCUUGCAUGUGCCUAUCGGAGCAGAUGAGUUCCAGUGGCAUGGAAAGAUUCUUCACUAGCUGUAACCACGCCUGGGGACUGGGCUUCAGGGUGUGUCUCGUCAGCAUCUCAGUGCAGGCCAUUGCGGCAGACACGUCCAGGGUCUGGGGAGACGGACAGCGGGGCAUAGCUUAGCAGUGCCCCCAACCACUGCCCCUGGCCCCUGUUUUCCUUGUGCCAGAGGCCCUGGCUGUUAGCUGCAUGGAUACUCGUGUCCCAGGCUUGCAACCUAAUCUUUCAUUGUCUAGGGUAUGGGAAGCGUCAGCAAGCUGUGUUCUUAACAUCUCCGAGUUAAGCUGAGGUGUAUGCCUCAUGAAGAAAUCUGGAACACAGCCCCAAAGCUUGCCCUUCCCAGAAUGCAGUUGGAAGCACCCCAACGCUGGCUCAAGGGAGGCAGAGGAGGGCCAUACCAUCUCACGUUCAGCCAGCUUGUGGUUUUGAGAGGCUUCCAUCAGGCUGCAGAGAAUCUGGGGAUAGAUGGUCAGGAUUCUGGAGAAGUUCUGCAGCCGGCUUCUGAAAUGCUGGUAGGCCAGGUGCACCCAUGGCAGGGAAACCUCUUCCUCAGGCACUUCUAAUGCCACUUUUAGUUCACAGAUGCAGGACCACAGAGCCAUCUGCAGAAACUGGGAUUCAAACAAGCUUUUAGAAUCUAUUUUUAAAUGACAAAAAUGGUAUGUUUUCCCCAUGGAAAAUCAGAACUGUUGGGAAACCAUAAAAGCGAAAAUUACAACUCCUGAGUGCUGUCCUGGCGUGUGCCUGUCCAGUUUUACCUCCUCCUCCCUCAUCCCACGUUAGGGCCACCGUGUCUUCUUUACAUCGUGAACUUUCUCUAUUACUGAGUACACUUGUAUACUUGAAAAAUAUUGUUUGAACGGCUGCUCGAUAACCCAUCAUGUGGCCAUACUUUAACUUGCCCAUCCUGUAUUUCUGGAGAACUAUUCAUUUUUAGAAGCAGAGCUGAAAACAACAUCCCUGUGAACGAAGCGUUUGUCCACAUCAGGGUAUAGUCAACACUGCAGAUGGAACAAGGCACUCAACUACUCUGCCAGGUGGCCCUGCAGGGCGCCUGCUGUUCACGCCACCGUCAGCCACGUGGCCUGGCCCUUUCUUUGCAGCACUGGCAGCUGUUCUUUUUAAAAAUCAGCUUUGCGGGCCGGGCAUGGCAGCUCACACCUAUAAUCCCAACACUCUGGGAGGCUGAGGGGGGCAGAUCACGUGAGGUCAGGAGUUAGAGACCAGCCUGGCAAGCAUGGUGAAACCCCGUCUCUACUAAAAAUACAAAAUGGGCACCUGCAAUCUCAGCUACUGGGGAGGCUGAGACAGGAGAAUUGCUUGAACCCAGGAGGUAGAGGUUGCAGUGAGCUGAGAUGGUGCCACUGCACUCCAGCUUGGGCAACAAAGAGUGAAACUCUUGUCUCAAAAAAAAAUCAGCUUUGCAAAAUAAAUGCAUAAAUACGAUGUCUAAAAACUGUUGUGUUGAUUUGCUAUUAAUAAUAAAGCUAAGAAAUUGUUCAUA